CCUGACCUCGAGCGAUCCACCGGCGUUGGCCUCCCAGAGUGCUAGGAUUACAGGUGUGAGGCACCGCACCUGGCCUCACUUUUCAGCUUUGUAUUCACAUUGGCAUCCCAGUUGGUGCCCAAACACAUGGGAUUAUCUGAGACAAUAGGAAAGGCAACUGAGACAAAAGACACCUCUCCCCGACUAUCGCCUCAUCUGAAAUUCUACUCUUAAGGAUUAAAUUAUUAAGUCAUCCACAUCAAGGUAUUGAUUCUUCUUCAAUUAUUCAGACCAUUAACAGAAUCUUAAGGAACAGUGUUCUCCAUCCUCAGCUCCCAGCACGUGCCUUGCUCACUCACAGAGGUAUCCAAUAAAUAUUUGUUCAAUAAACGAAUAGACUCCCCUCUCUGAGUUUACUACUGCCUUUCUCUCACCAUUCACCGAAAUCCCCACUCUGCACACCUUGCCUUUAACACUCCCAACUCUGAUAGUUAAUUAUAUUAACUCUGACUUUAAUUAUACUCCUGGAUUUUUUUCCCCAGAAAUAAACAUGCUAGCUACUGGUUAACAGCAAAGACCUUGGCAGCCAAGAUGAAGGACAAAGGUGCUUUCCUGAUAUCUAAUCUCUUCAGCCUAAUAUUUAAACUUUCCAAGAGACACAUUCCACCCCAUGUGCUCCACACGUAUCUGCCAACGUCCCAGUGAGAACCCCCAAUUCCAGCGUGGCUGGCCUCUCCACUCUCCGAGUCAUUUUUGUCCCAGCCUUCAUAAGGGCUCGUGUGUUUAUUCACUCUGCUUUCCUUCUGCCCAUGGCAAUGACGCUCAUUCUUCAGGCUUUCGAUCAAGGAAUAAAUAACUCCUCCAUAAAUCCACCUCAGACCAAGCUGAGCUAAUUCAUCUCUCCUCUGAAAUACUGCAGCACCUAGCAUGAGUACCACUUAUUUGGACACAUAAUUACAUAUUAUCCUGGAACAUAAUCCAAUUGCUCCUACAUUUAUCUUUUCUCUCCGUCUUGACUCUUUAAGCAGGGAAUAUAUUUUAUUUUUCUCAGCUGUUUUUCCUAUAUUUCAUACAGGACCAAGCUGGUUGCUUUUACUCAGUGCUAGAGCUCACUUAGUACUUGUCAAAUUGAGUAACGAAUUCAAAACACUUGACUACAGGAGAGAUGUAGGUAUUGUGACAAAGGUUUAGCUGAAGCCAAAUGAAUUCUAGUACUUGGCAUUGACAGUGAGAUUCACACUGAAGGCCCCUGUUUAAAGACUGCAGUGGGACAGAGCCUGACACGAAGCAUGACAGAGAUCUUUCUCUGAAAUCGGUCCUCCCAAAUAUGGCCUGGCUUUCCUUCUGAAAUACGCUGAAAAAAUUUAUACCAUCAGAUUAAGAAAUUUCAAUUUUUAAAGCAAAUGUUUAUACAUAAUUUGUUCUGGUGGCCAAAUUACUUAAUCUUUCAACUACUAACAGUCAACUCUUCUCAGAUAUAUUGAAAUUUAAGUUGACCCUCCAUCACUGGGUCUAUCUCUACAUUCUAACUUUACAUGUUGAAUGCCUGAUUUCCAGUCUGGAACAUCCUGUCAUACCAGAAGCAAGUACCCUCCUGUUGAGCCACCAGGUGUUGAGGUGAUCAACUGGGACAAGCCACAGUAAAAGGAACAGUUAAGCCGGAUUCACUUACUGUGACAAUGCAGUCAAGAGGCAAAAGAGAAAGGCACUGUCUCCUCAGUGCUCAACACCAGACAAAGUCAGGAGGAUGCAGUGUAGACAGGGGAAUCAUCUCACUGCUAAGGAGCCCUGAAGAAAUGGGCCAGAGACUGGGAGGAGGGAGAGAGGAAAAAGGUCAGAGUGCAGAAGUACUGAGUCAAAGGGCAGAAAAAUGCCCUCAGCCAAGGCUCACAAUAAGGGGUCUUCGAGGAUGUACCUCAAAAGUACUUUAACUGAGGCCCCUAAGAAAGAGACCACUAAAUGGAGGCACAUGGGCUAAGAAUGUAACCAAAUGUAAAAACAUGGCUGACCGGAGGGUAGGGGGCUGGGGAGCCAGGGAGACAUGAGUCCUUUACUGUCACUCCCUCCAGAGACUGCAGUGUACUGGCUGUGCACCAAGUCUGGUCUGGGCAAGGCAGCUUCCCCUCAGGAGGCUUGCCAAGUAAGGCCUUGGAAUGGCCUAUGGUUAGGUCUGAAUGGGCACACACAGAGGAUUCUGGCCUGGAGCCUGACUCUCCAUCUUGAACUGGAGACAAGGUUACUUUUCCACCUCUUGACUUUGGAUUUGGCCAUAUGACUUGCUUUAGCCACUAAGAUGAGGUAGAAGCGAUGAUAAAUAAGUGACAUAUAUACUUACUGUUGUAUGCUGCUGAGAUUCUCUGAUCCUUUCUUACACAGUAAGAGCUCACUGAUACACUCUCCAUUUUGUAACCCCAAAUUAACUGAUGUAUCUAAGCAAUGGAUCUAAGCUGCCAACAUCAUAGGACAAGACACAAACUCAUGUGAUGUGCCUCCUAAUAGAAGUUUAGAACACCAACUGUGAAAUAGACUCGCCAAAAAUCAAACUUGAAAUGCAUCAAGCCUUUAGAUCUAAUUACCAGCUUAUAGGAAACACAGGUAAUGAGAGACCAUAUUAACAGUACUAAGAUCCAGAUUAUGGGAAAUUCUGAAGACAAAUGAUCCAGUUUCUUAAAUAAAUAAUUUGAAAGGUAAAAAAAAAAGAA